AAGUUCCCAGGCUAGGGGUUAAAUCAGAGCUGUAGCUGCUUGCCUACAGCCACAGCAAUGCCAGAUCCAAGCUGUGUCUGAGACCUACACCACAGUUCACGGCAAUGCCAUAUCCUUAACCCACUGAGCAAGGCCAGAGAUUGAAACCGCAUCCUCAUGGAUACUAGUCAGAUUCUUAACCCACUGAGCCACAAUGGGAACUCCUGCUUAUAUUUUUCUUAGUCUGUGAGUUUAAACAAAAAUUAUCUACUGUAGUCUUGGAGGGCUAUUUAUAUGCAGAAACGUCCCUGAUAGCUUGUGAGGGCGAACUAUACUUUUGGCUGCUUUUAGUUUGGAUGCUUGCUGUCUCUUUCCUCAGUGAGUGCAGGCCGUUAUCCCUUGAUGGGGUGUAAAGGUAUAUGGACUGCUUGUGCUUCCAGGGAGGUGGGGGCAAUGGGUGGCACCUGCAGGUGGUGCCUAGUUGCUGGGACCUUGCCAGUAGCCACACUCUAUGGGGAGGCGGGGUGGUGCCCAGAACCCUUGCAGUGGCCACAGGGGGCAUAUGUAAUCCCAGGGAGGUGAGGGCAGCAGGUGGCACUCUGGGGCCCUCCACGGCAGCAACACCUGAGGUGACUGGGGCUGCAGGCCCGUGCCUGGUCAUGGGACCCUCAGUGGUGGCAGGCCUCACCCACCUCUGGAGUCUGAGAUUGCCACAGCAGUUUGCACCCACCCUAGUAACAUGUGCAGGAGGCACCUGCCACAUGAGAGCUCUCAUGUGUGCAGAGAAAGAAGUUCCUAUGGUGGUCCUGUUCCCCUCUCCCCUCGUGCUCACCAGCAAUGAGGCCUUGCUGCUCUGGCAGGCCCAGGCCUCCUCCUGCACUGCCUCAGCUGUGGUGCACCAUUCCCUAGUCCUUUCAGGCUGUUUCCACACAGCCAACCCCAGUGCUCCCCACAGAAGUGACCUCCAUAGCCCAAGUCUCAGCACUCAGCCCCCGUCUGAGUGUCUCGGCUGUGGUUUCCCAGGCGGCGUUACUGGUGCUCUCUCUGCUUUGCCCUCCUCAGACCAAUUGCUGUGCUUUUCUCUGAGGCCUUGAGGCUCCUUCUCAUCCCAGCUGACCUCCCUGUCAGUUAGGUGGCCUCCCAGGGGACAGACUCCUUUCCUCUUUCACAGCUCCCUCUCAGGAGUGCUGGUUCCAACCUGAUUCCUUGUUUUCUCUUCUCUCUCUCUCUCUCUUUUUUUUCUCCUUUUGUUCUACCCAGUUAUGUGGAGCUUUUCUUGUCCUUUUUGGAAGUCAGAGGUCUUCUCCCAGCAUUCAGUAGAUGUUCUGUGCAAGUCAUUCUACAUUUAGGUGUUUUUUUUUUUUUAUUAUUUGUUUGUAGGAGAAGGUAAAUGCCAACGUCCUACACCUCUGCCAUCUUUUUAAAAAUUUUAUUUAUUUAUUUAUUUUUUGAUCACAUCUGUAGUUGUAUAAUGAUCAUAACAAUCCAAUUUCACAGGAUUUCCAUCCCACAACCCAAGAACAUCCCCCCACCCCCCAAAAUGUCUCCUCUGGAGACUAAAUUUUUCAGUGUAUGUGAGUCAGCAUCUGUUCUGCAAAGAAGUUCAGUCUGUCCUUUUUUUCAAAUUCCGCAUGUCAGUGAAAGCAUUUGAUGUUGGUGUCUCAUUGUAUGGCUGACUUCACUUAGCAUGAUAAUUUCUAGGUCCAUCCAUGUUGCUAAAAAUGCUGGUAUUUCAUUCCUUUUAAUGGCUGAGUAAUAUUCCAUUGUGUAUAUGUACCAUAUCUUCUUGAUCCACUCCUCUGUCGAUGGACAUUUCGGUUGUUUCCAUGUCUUGGCUAUUGAACAUAAUGCUGCAAUGAACAUUGGAGUACAUGUGUCUUUGUGAGUCAUGGUUUUCUCUGGGUAGAUGCCCAGGAGUGGGAUUGCUGGAUCAAAUGGUAGUUCUAUUUUUAGUUUUCUGAGGCAUCUCCAUACAGUUUUCCACAGUGGUUGCACCAAUUUACAAUCCCACCAACAGUGUGAUAGGGUUCCUUUUUCUCCACACCCUCUCCAGCACUUACUGUUUGUAGACUUUUGGAUGAUGGCCAUUCUGGCUGGUGUAAGGUGGUACCUCAUUGUGGUUUUGAUUUGCAUUUCUCUAAUAAUGAGUGAUGUUAAACAUCUUUUCAUGUGUUUUCUGGCCAUCUGUAUGUCUUCUUUGGAGAACUGUCUGUUUAGAUCUUCUGCCCAUUUUUUGAUGGGGUUGUUUGUUUUUUUGGUAUGGAGCUGCAGAAGGUGUUUAUAAAUUUUGGAGAUUAAUCCCUUGUCAGUUGAUUGAUUUGCAAAGAUUUUCUUCCAUUCUGUGGGUUGUCUUUUUGUUUUGUUUAGGGUUUCUUUUGCUGUGCAGAAACUUUUAGGUUUGAUUAGGUCCCAUUUGUUUAUUUUUGUUUUUAUUGUCAUGACUCUAAGAGGUGGAUCUGAGAAGAUGUUGCUGUCGUUUAAGUCAGAGAGUGUUUGGCCUAUGUUUUCCUCUAAGAGUUUUAUAGUGUCUGGUCUUAUAUCUAGGUGUUUAAUCCAUUUUGAGUGUAUUUUUGUGUAUGGUGUUAGGGAGUGUUCUAAUUUCAUUCUUUUCCAUGUGGCUGUCCAGUUUUCCGAGCACCACUUAUUGAACAGGCUGUCUUUUCUACACUCUGCCAUCUUGAUCCCUCCUCACAGAAAUCUCACUUUAUUUUUUUUAAUGAUUAUUUUUUUUUAGGAAGCUUACUUUAAAUAGAAGGAUACAGAAGGGUGAAAGUCAAAGGUUAGAAAGCAAUGUCAUAUAAAUAUUAACCCCUAAAAAGCUGAUAUGGACACAUGAACACUGGAAAUUUUAAGUUAAGAUGUAUUAUAAGUUCCUGUCGUGGCGCAGCAGAAACAAAUCUGACUAAGAACCAUGAGGUUGUGGGUUCAAUUCCUGACCUCGAUCAGUGGGUUAAGGAUCCAGUGUUGCCGUGAGAUGUGGUGUGGGUCACAGACGCAUCUUGGCUAUAGUCCUGAUUGGACCCCUGGCCUGGGAACCUCCAUAUGCCAUGGGUGUGCCCCUAAAAGGACAAAAGGCAAAAAAAAAAAAAAAAAAAAAAA
rnacentral:lncRNA from 1 species